rnacentral:rRNA from 1 species
AACGAACGCUGGCGGCAUGCCUAACACAUGCAAGUCGAACGAGACCUUCGGGUUUAGUGGCGCACGGGAGCGUAACGCGUGGGAACCUGCCCUUAGGUUCGGAAUAACUCCCCGAAAGGGGUGCUAAUACCGGAUAAUGUCUUCGGACCAAAGAUUUAUCGCCUUUGGAUGGGCCCGCGUUGGAUUAGCUAGUUGGUAGGGUAAAAGCCUACCAAGGCGACGAUCCAUAGCUGGUCUGAGAGGAUGAUCAGCCACACUGGGACUGAGACACGGCCCAGACUCCUACGGGAGGCAGCAGUGGGGAAUAUUGGACAAUGGGCGAAAGCCUGAUCCAGCAAUGCCGCGUGAGUGAUGAAGGCCUUAGGGUUGUAAAGCUCUUUUACCCGGGAUGAUAAUGACAGUACCGGGAGAAUAAGCUCCGGCUAACUCCGUG